UACGUAGGGUGCAAGCGUUAAUCGGAAUUACUGGGCGUAAAGCGUGCGCAGGCGGUUUUGUAAGUCAGAUGUGAAAUCCCCGGGCUUAACCUGGGAACUGCGUUUGAAACUACAAGGCUAGAGUGUGGCAGAGGGGGGUGGAAUUCCACGUGUAGCAGUGAAAUGCGUAGAGAUGUGGAGGAACACCGAUGGCGAAGGCAGCCCCC
rnacentral:rRNA from 1 species